GCGGGUGUAGUACACCGGUAGUAUGUCUCCCUUCCAAGGAGAAGAAGCCAGUCCGAUUCUGGUCACCCGCU
rnacentral:tRNA from 2 species